rnacentral:rRNA from 1 species
GUCCACGCCCUAAACGAUGCGAACUAGGUAUUGGCAGUAUCGACCCUGUCAGUGCCGUUUAAAAAGCUAACGCGUUAAGUUCGCCGCCUGGGGAGUACGGCCGCAAGGUUAAAACUCAAAGGAAUAGACGGGGACCCGCACAAGCGGUGGAUCAUGUGGUUUAAUUCGAUAGCAAACGGGGACCUUACCUGGGCUCAACUACUAGCUGCAGGCCGCCAGAAAUGGUGACCGCCUUCGAGGGUGCUAGAUAGGUGCUGCAUGGUUGCCGU